GACAGAGGGUGCAAACGUUGUUCGGAAUUACUGGGCGUAAAGCGCGUGUAGGCGGCUGUGCAAGUCGGAUGUGAAAUCCCGUGGCUCAACCACGGAAGUGCACCCGAAACUGCGCAGCUGGAGUCUCGGAGAGGAAGGUGGAAUGCUUGGUGUAGAGGUGAAAUUCGUAGAUAUCAAGCGGAACACCGGUGGCGAAGGCGGCCUUCUGGACGAUGACCGACGCUGAGACGCGAAAGCGUGGGGAGCAAACAGG
rnacentral:rRNA from 1 species